ACCCGAAAGAUGGUGAACUAUGCCUGAGUAGGGUGAAGCCAGGGGAAACUCUGGUGGAAGCUCGUAGAGAUUCUGACGUGCAAAUCGAUCGUCGAACUUUGGUAUAGGGGCGAAAGACUAAUCGAACCAUCUAGCAGCUGG
rfam:Hyaloperonospora arabidopsidis Emoy2 Contig184.0, whole genome shotgun sequence.